AUUGAACGCUGGCGGCAGGCCUAACACAUGCAAGUCGAGCGAGCGGCGGACGGGUGAGUAAUGUAUGGGGAUCUGCCCGAUAGAGGGGGAUAACUACUGGAAACGGUGGCUAAUACCGCAUACUAUCGGAUGAACCCAUAUGGGAUUAGCUAGGAGGUGGGGUAACGGCUCACCUAGGCGACGCUCUCUAGCUGGGCUGAGAGGAUGACCAGCCCAACUGGGACUGGAGAAAGGCCCAGACUCCUACGGUAGGCAGCAGGGGGGAAUAUUGUAAAAUGGGGGCAAUCCUGAUGCAGCCAUGCCGGGUGUAUGAAGAAGGCCUUAGGGGUGUAAAGGACUUUUAGCGGGGAGGCGUUACCCGCAGAAGAAGCACCGGCUAACUCCGUGCCAGCAGCCGCGGUAAUUC
rnacentral:rRNA from 1 species